CACGGCAUCUAAACGCCUAUGGGGCAUGGGAAAAAUAAUUCCCCUUGUUUUAUUUCACCGCAGGGAACAUAUCGGGAAUGCGACGUUACCACUAUCGAUACCUGCUCCUCUACACGGCUCAGUCACUCGAUUCUGCACUGACGGGCCGGGCUGCCGCACGACGUGGGCAGCAUAAUGAAGGAGACUACGGAAUGGCCAAUGGCACCGUAAAAUGGUUCAACACCACCAAAGGUUAUGGCUUUAUCGCCCCCGAUGAUGGCGGCAAAGACGUGUUUGUGCACAUCUCUGCUGUCGAGCGCGCGGGCCUCACCGGCCUCGCCGACAACCAGAAGGUCACCUACGACCUCGAAGCCGGCCGUGACGGCCGCGAAUCGGCAGGCAACAUCGUUCUGGCCUAAGGCCUCAGCGACACGCUUUUGAAGGGCCGUCCCACCGGGGGCGGCCCUUUUC
rnacentral:other from 1 species